AACGAACGCUGGCGGCAGGCUUAACACAUGCAAGUCGAACGCACCUUUCGGGGUGAGUGGCAGACGGGUGAGUAACGCGUGGGAAUCUACCCUUCUCUACGGGAUAGCUCCGGGAAACUGGAAUUAAUACCGUAUACGUCCUGAGGGAGAAAGAUUUAUCGGGGAAGGAUGAGCCCGCGUUGGAGUAGCUAGUUGGUGGGGUAAAGGCCUACCAAGGCGACGAUCCAUAGCUGGUCUAAGAGGAUGAUCAGCAACAUUGGGACUGAGACACGGCCCAAACUCCUACGGGAGGCAGCAGUGGGGAAUAUUGGAAAAUGGGCGCAAGCCUGAUCCAGCCAUGCCGCGUGAGUGAUGAAGGCCCUAGGGUUGUAAAGCUCUUUCAGUGGGGACGAUAAUGACGGUACCCACAGAAGAAGCCCCGGCUAACUUCGUGCCAGCCGCCGCGGUAA
rnacentral:rRNA from 1 species